GGGCGGUUAGCUCAAUUGGCAGAGCGCCUCGCUUACACCGAGGAGGUUGUUGGUUCAAUUCCAUCACCGCCCACCA
rnacentral:tRNA from 1 species